rnacentral:rRNA from 1 species
UACGUAGGGCGCAAGUGUUGUCCGGAAUUAUUGGGCGUAAAGAGCUCGUAGGCGGUUUGUCACGUCGGGUGUGAAAGCCCGGGGCUUAACCCCGGGUCUGCAUUCGAUACGGGCAGACUAGAGUGUGGUAGGGGAGGAUCGGAAUUCCUGGUGUAGCGGUGAAAUGCGCAGAUAUCAGGAGGAACACCGGUGGCGAAGGCGGAUCUCUGGGCCAUUACUGACGCUGAGGAGCGAAAGCGUGGGGAGCGAACAGG